GGCAGCAACCGCUGUGACGUCAUCAAUCAGAACUUAGCUCUCGAUUUGAGGUUAUGUGCUGCACCAUUUACGUGCUGCGACAGGGAGUUUGGAUUACGUCAGGGCACGCAGCCGAGGGUCAUCGGCCGUCAGUGGUACCAGCCGAGAUCCCACGUAGUCCAUUUUCACGGUUGUGGUGCAAGUGAACAUAAAUUGUUUUCAAUUUUUAAUGAUGUGGUGCUAAUUAUCUUAACAGUGUUCAGCCUUCUCAGCUAGUACCAGAUUUAAAUAGCCGUCACGUUUCAAGGUCACGGAAGGACUUCAGCCCCUUUUCCACGCUGCUGUAGAUCACCAGGACAGCGCUGCAGAAUUUUGAGCCGUCUUUACUCGCCUCUUCUUAGCUAUCGGGAACAGAUGCAGGCACUAAUGGACAUCCGAUAUCGCUUUGGCGGUCAAGAUACACUUCACUCUGCAGGGGAUCUCCUAGAGGCAUUACAGUGGAGACGUCGUUUGGCGAAAAUAAAAUGAAAUAAAAGAACUAAGCAAGGACGGAUAAAAAUGAAGGACUAGUGAAAGAAUCAAGGAAGAAACUUAAGGAAAUUAUAAUGAAUAUAAGGAAGAAGGGAGUUAUGUAGGAAAUUUCAUUGGCUUCUGUAGCGUGAAUUUAUAAUUCUAAUUUUAACAUUUUGAAAUAGUGUUGUUAAGCGGAAACAUAUCUGAAUCAGAAAAAAAGUCAAAUUUUGUAGUGAGCAGGUUCUGGUGUACUUUGAAAUCACUACUUAUCACGAAGGCUGUCAACGUAAAAAAUUGUUUUGUAUCCCUAACUAAUCACUGACAAAAGAAAAAUAUAAUGAAUUUAAGUCACAUCUGGUUUGUACAUUUUUACGCGAACUUAUAAAGAGGAAGUAACAAUAAUACAUUAAAAUGUUUUAAUAUUUGUUGAAAUACUAUUGUUAUCGUUCACUUGACGACGUAAGCUGAUGUCCUUAAAUCUUGAUUAUUAUCUCAAUUAUUAAAUAAAUAAUCAUUAUUGCGCACGUCUACAGUGCGAUGUUUUAUUCCGUGAGUCCCCUGGGGACAAACCGAGGAAAACCACAGAUAACAUCAAUACAUACACCUGGUUUCUAUUGGACUCACAAACUGCUAAUUCUAGACGCAAGUUUUGCCCUUUUAUCACUAAUUUAAUUUAUUAAAUUUCUCGUUUAUUCACAUUACAACGCGUUGUUUUUGCGUGAUGUGACAAGAACGAAUGCAUAUAUGUCUGGUGAUGUCUGUCUGCCUGUCGGCAUGAUUCAAGCCAAGUACCGCUAGACGGAUUUGGAUGAAAUUUGGUAUGAACGUUACGUCAUUGGUGAUUGCCCUAAAACCGCACCUCUCAGUUGUUUAAAUUCGGUAACAUAAACUUGUCUGACGAACAAAUUUGUGGGAUGGGAUCACAUUUAGCACCACUUUUAAUGGGGCCAUGUAGUAAAAAGUGGUUUAUAUUCUUAUAAAAUGCAUAAUUUAUGUGUGUAAUUAUUUGAAAAAUGUAAAAUAACAAAAUGGCUGCUGCAGGAAAGAUAAAAAAAUUAAUUAGGGAAGGAUUCGAUACUGUUUGCACUUGCGUACGUGUUUAGUAUGUUACCACAGAGAUAACGUG